UACGGGGGGAGCAAGCGUUGUUCGGAUUUACUGGGCGUAAAGGGCGCGUAGGCGGCCACCGCAAGUCGGUUGUGAAAUCUCCGGGCUUAACCCGGAAAGGUCAAUCGAUACUGCGGGGCUAGAGUGCAGAAGGGGCAACUGGAAUUCUCGGUGUAGCGGUGAAAUGCGUAGAUAUCAGGAGGAACACCCGUGGCGAAAGCGGCUCUCUGGGACGGUACUGACGCUGAGACGCGAAAGCGUGGGGAGCAAACAGG
rnacentral:rRNA from 1 species